rnacentral:rRNA from 1 species
AUUGAACGCUGGCGGCAGGCCUAACACAUGCAAGUCGAGCGAGCGGCGGACGGGUGAGUAAUGUCUGGGAAACUGCCUGAUGGAGGGGGAUAACUACUGGAAACGGUAGCUAAUACCGCAUACCAUCAGAUGUGCCCAGAUGGGAUUAGCUAGUAGGUGGGGUAAUGGCUCACCUAGGCGACGAUCCCUAGCUGGUCUGAGCGGAUGACCAGCCACACUGGAACGUAGACACGGGCCAGACGCCUCCGGGAGGCAUCAGGGGGGAGUAUUGCACAAUGGGCGCAAGCCUGAGGCAGCCAUGCCGGGUGUGAGAAGUGGGCCUUCGGGUUGUAAAGCACGUUCAGCGGGGAGGCGUUACCCGCAGAAGAAGCACCGGCUAACUCCGUGCCAGCAGCCGCGGUAAUAC